rnacentral:rRNA from 1 species
UACGGGGGGAGCAAGCGUUGUUCGGAUUUACUGGGCGUAAAGGGCGCGUAGGCGGCACCGCAAGUCGACUGUGAAAUCUCCGGGCUUAACUCGGAAAGGUCAGCCGAUACUGCGGGGCUAGAGUGCAGAAGGGGCAACUGGAAUUCUCGGUGUAGCGGUGAAAUGCGUAGAUAUCGAGAGGAACACCUGCGGCGAAGGCGGGUUGCUGGGCUGACACUGACGCUGUUGCGCGAAAGCUAGGGGAGCGAACGGG